CUGUCUCUUGCUUCAACAGUGUUUGGACUGAACAA
rfam:Myotis davidii contig227170, whole genome shotgun sequence.